rnacentral:miRNA from 1 species
UUCUAGGACUUUAUAGAGCAGAG